rnacentral:rRNA from 1 species
GACGAACGCUGGCGGCGUGCUUAACACAUGCAAGUCGAACGGAAAGGCCCUGCUUUUGUGGGGUGCUCGAGUGGCGAACGGGUGAGUAACACGUGAGUAACCUGCCCUUGACUUUGGGAUAACUUCAGGAAACUGGGGCUAAUACCGGAUAGGAGCUCCUGCUGCAUGGUGGGUGUUGGAAAGUUUCGGCGGUUGGGGAUGGACUCGCGGCUUAUCAGCUUGUUGGUGGGGUUGUGGCUUACCAAGGCUUUGACGGGUAGCCGGCCUGAGAGGGUGACCGGCCACAUUGGGACUGAGAUACGGCCCAGACUCCUACGGGAGGCAGCAGUGGGGAAUAUUGCACAAUGGGCGGAAGCCUGAUGCAGCAACGCCGCGUGCGGGAUGACGGCCUUCGGGUUGUAAACCGCUUUCGCCUGUGACGAAGCGUGAGUGACGGUAAUGGGUAAAGAAGCACCGGCUAACUACGUG